rnacentral:rRNA from 1 species
CACGUAGGGCGCAAGCGUUGUCCGGAAUUAUUGGGCGUAAAGAGCUCGUAGGCGGUUUGUCGCGUCUGCCGUGAAAGUCCGGGGCUCAACUCCGGAUCUGCGGUGGGUACGGGCAGACUAGAGUGAUGUAGGGGAGACUGGAAUUCCUGGUGUAGCGGUGAAAUGCGCAGAUAUCAGGAGGAACACCGAUGGCGAAGGCAGGUCUCUGGGCAUUAACUGACGCUGAGGCGCGACAGCGUGGGGAGCAAACAGG